UAUCUCUGUAGAGUCUGCAUAUCAAUAAGCGGAGGAAAAGAAACUAACAAGGAUUCCCCUAGUAACGGCGAGUGAAGCGGGAAGAGCUCAAAUUUGAAAUCUUCAAGGUUUGACCUUGACGAAUUGUAGUUUAAAGAAGUGUUUUCGGUUAGAGGAGUAGUAAAAGUUCUUUGGAAUAGGACAUCAUAGAGGGUGAGAAUCCCGUAUUUGACUAUUCUUUCUAGCUUUGUGAUACACUUUCAAAGAGUCGGAUUGUUUGGGAAUGCAGUCCAAAAUGGGUGGUAAAUUUCAUCUAAAGCUAAAUAUUGGCGAGAGACCGAUAGCGAACAAGUACCGUGAGGGAAUGAUGAAAAGAACUUUGAAAAGAGAGUUAAACAGUACGUGAAAUUGUCAAAAGGGAAGCGUUUGACACCAGUGUUGUUUUUCCGAAAAUCAAUUAAAAAUUGAUUCAUGCCAGGUUGUAUUGACCUUAUCAGCUUGCAAUUUGGUUUUGGGUCUCUUUUUGAUGCACUUUUCGGUUAACAAGUCAACAUCAAUUUCCUUUGCUGUAAAAGGGUAAGAGGAAGGUGGCUUCAAUUUCGGUUGAAGUGUUUAUAGCCUUUUAUCUCUGCAGUCGGGGAGAUUGAGGUCUGCAGCGUAGAUCCUUCGGGGCUAGAUACAUUUAUGCUAAGUUAUAGCUUUUCAUAGACAACUUGUUGACUAUGUUUAGUCAUGUAGCUUACUCGUAAGUGCUAUUUUACCUACGCUUAGGAUGUUGAAGACUCUACAGAGAUA
rnacentral:rRNA from 1 species